rnacentral:rRNA from 1 species
CCUACGGGUGGCAGCAGUGAGGAAUAUUGGUCAAUGGACGAGAGCCUGAACCAGCCAAGUAGCGUGAAGGAUGACUGACCUAUGGGUGGUAAACUUCUUUUAUAAAGGAAUAAAACGAGGCACGUGUGCCUUUUUGCAUGUACUUUAUGAAUACGGCUCGGCUAACUCCGUGCCAGCAGCCGCGGUAAUACGGAGGUUCCGAGCGUUAUCCGGAUUUAUUGGGUUUAAAGGGAGCGUAGAUGGGUUGUUAAGUCAGUAGUGAAAUUUUGCGGCUCAACCGUAAAAUUGCAAUUGAUACUGGCAGUCUUGAGUGCAGUUGAGGUAGGCGGAAUUCGUGGUGUAGCGGUGAAAUGCUUAGAUAUCACGAAGAACCCCGAUUGCGAAGGCAGCUUACUAAACUGUGACUGACAUUGAUGCUCGAAAGUGUGGGUAGCAAACAGGAUUAGAUACCCUUGUAGUC